rnacentral:rRNA from 1 species
GGCUCAGGAUGAACGCUAGCUACAGGCUUAACACAUGCAAGUCAGGGGCAGCAUGAUCUUAGCUUGCUAAGAUUGAUGGCGACCGGCGCACGGGUGAGUAACGCGUAUCCAACUUCCCUAUAGUAGAGAAUAGCCCGGCGAAAGUCGGAUUAAUGCUCUAUGUUCUUCUUUGAUGGCAUCUGACGAGAAGCAAAGGUUCACCGCUAUAGGAUGGGGGAUGCGUCUGAUUAGCUUGUUGGCGGGGUAACGGCCCACCAAGGCGACGAUCAGUAGGGGUUCUGAGAGGAAGGUCCCCCACAUUGGUACUGAGACACGGACCAAACUCCUACGGGAGGCAGCAGUGAGGAAUAUUGGUCAAUGGGCGAGAGCCUGAACCAGCCAAGUAGCCGUGCAGGACGACUGCCCUAUGGGUUGUAAACUGCUUUUAUAGGGGAAUAAAGUGAGGUAUGCAUACCUUUUUGUAUGUACCCUAUGAAUAAGGACCGGCUAAUUCCGUGCCAGCCGCCGC